rnacentral:rRNA from 1 species
AGUGAACGCUGGCGGUAGGCCUAACACAUGCAAGUCGAACGGCAGCACAGUAAGAGCUUGCUCUUACGGGUGGCGAGUGGCGGACGGGUGAGGAAUACAUCGGAAUCUACUUUUUCGUGGGGGAUAACGUAGGGAAACUUACGCUAAUACCGCAUACGACCUACGGGUGAAAGCAGGGGAUCUUCGGACCUUGCGCGAUUGAAUGAGCCGAUGUCGGAUUAGCUAGUUGGCGGGGUAAAGGCCCACAAAGGCGACGAUCCGUAGCUGGUCUGAGAGGAUGAUCAGCUACACUGGAACUGAGACACGGUCCAGACUCCUACGGGAGGCAGCAGUGGGGAAUAUUGGACAGUGGGCGCAAGCCUGAUCCAGCCAUACCGCGUGGGUGAAGAAGGCCUUCGGGUUGUAAAGCCCUUUUGUUGGGAAAGAAAAGCAGCAGGUUAAUACCCCGCUGUUCUGACGGUACCCAAAGAAUAAGCACCGGCUAACUUCGUG